CGUGAGUGACCUGCCUUCGAGUGGGGGAUAACGUCCCGAAAGGGACGCUAAUACCGCAUGACAUCCUGCCUUUGAAGAGGUGGAAAUCAAAGCUGGGGAUCGCAAGACCUAGCGCUUGAAGAGGGGCUCGCGUCCGAUUAGCUAGUUGGUGGGGUAACGGCCCACCAAGGCAACGAUCGGUAGCCGGCCUGAGAGGGCGGACGGCCACACUGGGACUGAGACACGGCCCAGACUCCUACGGGAGGCAGCAGUGGGGAAUUGUUCGCAAUGGGCGCAAGCCUGACGACGCAACGCCGCGUGGAGGAUGAAGAUCUUCGGGUCGUAAACUCCUUUCGAUCGAGACGAACGGCCUCCGGGUUAACACUCCGGAGGAGUGACGGUACCGAGAGAAGAAGCCCCGGCUAACUCCGUGCCAGCAGCCGCGGUAAUACGGGGGGGGCAAGCGUUGUUCGGAAUUACUGGGCGUAAAGGGCUCGUAGGCGGCCAACUAAGUCGGACGUGAAAUCCCUCGGCUUAACCGGGGAACUGCGUCCGAUACUGGAUGGCUGGAGUUUGGGAGAGGGAUGCGGAAUUCCAGGUGUAGCGGUGAAAUGCGUAGAUAUCUGGAGGACACCGGUGGC
rnacentral:rRNA from 1 species